rnacentral:rRNA from 1 species
UACGUAGGGUGCAAGCGUUGUCCGGAAUUAUUGGGCGUAAAGAGCUCGUAGGCGGUUUGUCGCGUCGGCUGUGAAAGCCCGGAGCUCAACUCCGGGUCUGCAGUCGAUACGGGCAGACUUGAGUGUUGCAGGGGAGACUGGAAUUCCUGGUGUAGCGGUGAAAUGCGCAGAGUAUCAGGAGGAACACCGGUGCGAAGGCGGGUCUCUGGGCAACAACUGACGCUGAGGAGCGAAAGCGUGGGAGCGAACAGG